CCUACGGGAGGCAGCAGUGGGGAAUAUUGGACAAUGGGCGAAAGCCUGAUCCAGCCAUGCCGCGUGUGUGAUGAAGGCCCUAGGGUUGUAAAGCUCUUUCACCGGUGAAGAUAAUGACGGUAACCGGAGAAGAAGCCCCGGCUAACUUCGUGCCAGCAGCCGCGGUAAUACGAAGGGGGCUAGCGUUGUUCGGAAUUACUGGGCGUAAAGCGCACGUAGGCGGAUCGUUAAGUGAGGGGUGAAAUCCCAGGGCUCAACCCUGGAACUGCCUCCAAAACUGGCAAGCUAGAGUAUGGCAGAGGGUGGUGGAAUUUCCUGUGUAGCGGCGAAAUGCGUAGAUAUAGGAAGGAACACCAGUGGCGAAGGCGACCACCUGGGCUAAUACUGACACUGAGGUGCGAAAGCGUGUGGAGCAAACAGGAUUAGAUACCCUGGUAGUCCACGCCGUAGACGAUGUCGACUAGCCGUUGGGAUCCUUGAGAUCUUAGUGGCGCAGCUAACGCAUUAAGUCGACCGCCUGGGGAGUACGGGCCGCAGGGUAAAACUCAAAUGAAUUGACGGGGGCCCGCACAAGCGGUGGAGCAUGUGGUUUAAUUCGAAGCAACGCGAAGAACCUUACCAGGCCUUGACAUGCAGAGAA
rnacentral:rRNA from 1 species